rnacentral:lncRNA from 1 species
CCCACAUUGAAGGAGUGUGCUGAGAACAGUAGCAAUCAUAUCUAGGCUUGAUCAAGAGUUCAUGUUAACCAAAAAUUUGUAUUAUUUUUCAAAUACAUGGGCAACUUUCUGGAGAAUGUGAUAAAGGAAACAUUUUACAAGUCUUAGAAGGAGCUGAGGGUCAGUGAAGGUCAAACACUGGAAUUAAAAAGCAUCCUGGGAGAGGCAAGCAUGAGGAUUACACAUCUCUGCUCCCCUUGUAGUCCGGAGAGGCCAUGUGACUAGAUUGAUCUAAAGGCCUCCACCAUUCUCUCCUGCACACUGACUGAGGAGGCAGCAUGUCCCAGAUGGUAAAGCUACAGGAUGGUGGCAUCUCUGUCUGCCUGGAUUGCUGAGUCACAACAUGGAGGGCAGCUGCUCUAGAAGUGACCCAGACCUGCAGUGGGUAUUGUAUGCAUGGGGAAUCAACUUUGGUUGUGUCGAGUCAUCAAUGUCUUGAUAUGGCUUGUUCCCAAACCAUUCCCUCACCUAGUCUGACUAAUACUAUUGAAAAGCUGAAAUUUUAAAAAUCUGAUUAAAAGAAAAAACUAUCAAUACUGAAAGUAAAUUACAAAAAUGAGGAAAAAAAUUGUGCUGUUGUCAAAUGCAGAUUAUACAUGGUUUAAUUUUUGGCACGUAAGGUCUAGCGUUCAGAGGAGCAUCCAAGAAACUUUAUGAGCAUAACAUGCUGAUGGGAAUUUUAUCCAUUUGGCAGAAGUCAGAGCAAAAUUUGAUAAUAUUAUGGCAGAACAUUUAUGCAUGAUAUAAAUAUUGACACCAAAU